AGCUUGCUAUUGGUUCGCUAAGCCUGCGAGUUGAGAGGGUUCGGCCCUCGGCUAACGGCUCAGUAACACGUGGAUAAUCUGCCCUUAGGUGGAGGAUACCCUCGGGAAACUGAGAAUAAUACUCCAUAGGUCUAGGAUGCUGGAAUGCACUUAGACUAAAAACUCCGGUGCCUAAGGAUGAGUCUGCGGACUACCAGGUUGUAGUCAGGGUAAAGACCUGACUAGCCUACGACGGAUACGGGUUGUGAGAGCAAUAACCCGGAGAUGAUAUCUGAGACACGAUAUCAGGCCCUACGGGGCGCAGCAGGCGCGAAAACUUCACAAUGCGCGAAAGCGCGAUGAGGGAAUCCCAAGUGCUUGCACGUAAGUGUAAGCUGUUUCUAUGUUUAAAACGCAUAGAGAGUAAGGGCUGGGUAAGACGGGUACCAGCCGCCGCGGUAAUACCUGCAGCUCGAGUGGUGGCCGCUAUUAUUGGGCCUAAAACGUCCGUAGCCGGUUUAAUAAAUGCCUGGGUAAAUUGUAUAGCUUAACUAUACGAAUUCCGGGUAGACUGAUAAACUUGAGACCGGGGGAAGUUAGAGGUACUCCUGGGGUAGAGGUGAAAUUCUGUAAUCCUAGGGGGACCACCGGUGGCGAAGGCGUCUGACUAAAACGGGUCUGACGGUGAGGGACGAAGCCCUGGGGCGCAAACGGGAUUAGAUACCCCGGUAGUCCAGGGUGUAAACGCUGCUUGCUUGAUGUUAGUCGGGCUUCGAGCCCGAUUAGUGUCGGAGAGAAGUUGUUAAGCAAGCUGCCUGGGAAGUACGGCCGCAAGACUGAAACUUAAAG
rnacentral:rRNA from 1 species